rnacentral:misc_RNA from 1 species
AACGCACCUUGCGCUCCUUGGUAUUCCUUGGAGCAUGCCUGUUUGAGUGUCAUGAAUCUCUCUCAUCAAGUGGUUUUUUAGAAAACGGCUUCGACGAGGUCCAUGGGCCUGGACGUGUCCACACGUCCUUGCCUGAAAUGCAUGAGCUGAUUGCCAGCAGGGUUGUUAAGUUUUCACACCCUCGGAAGACGGCAGUUGCUUCGAGUUACUUGCGUUGUGUUUCGGCACGCGCAUUCCAUUGUAUCUCUGGCCUCAAAUCAGGUAGGACUACCCGCUGAACUUAA